GGCUUAUCAAAAUUACUAUCGGUUUUUGUUUUCAUUGAUACACAUGAUUGAUCUAAAGUGAUUACCCUUUAUCAUCGAAAUCGAUCCGAAGAGUUAGUCACAUACUCGCAUUUUUUUACACAUCGGCCGAAACCAUUUAAAAAGUGGAAUAUCUUUUACAGAAGUAUAUGUACAUUGGUAUUCCUUUACCAAUCUGCACUUAUUUUGACAUGGAGCAAACUUGUUAUUGUUUUUAUAUAAUAGUGGAGUUUGAUUCAAAAUUAACAAAUACAACUUGAUAGCAAAUUUUGUUGGCACGAUAACAAAUAAACAUUCACAUACUGUUCCUUCAUUUCUAAUCAAAAUUAAAAUCAACGUCAAUUGAUGCUAGCUCUAUAAAUCAACGGUUUGAAUUAUAUUUUGAUUUAUUUAGAUGUUUUCUUCAAUUAUCUUAGGGGCCUCUGUGGCCGAAUGGUCUAAGUAGUCGAAUUACUGUAUCACUAGAUCACUAGCCUGUCAACACUGAGGUUGUGAGGUUGGAAUCCCUCACAUGUGCAAGACUCCAAUUUUAAUUGAUUAAGAUUGACGAUUUUCCUACCGAAGUUCGGUGGUUUUCUCCAGUCACUCCAACUAUAAAAACUGACAGCCACGAAAUAUCAGAAUUGUGCUGAAAGUGGCAUAAAACAUCAAUCAAUUAUUUCAAACAUUUAAGUGAUAUAUAUAUAAA
rnacentral:lncRNA from 1 species